rnacentral:rRNA from 1 species
AGUGAACGCUGGCGGUAGGCCUAACACAUGCAAGUCGAACGGCAGCACAGGAGAGCUUGCUCUCUGGGUGGCGAGUGGCGGACGGGUGAGGAAUGCAUCGGAAUCUACUCUUUCGUGGGGGAUAACGUAGGGAAACUUACGCUAAUACCGCAUACGACCUACGGGUGAAAGCCGGGGACCUUCGGGCCUGGCGCGAAAGAAUGAGCCGAUGCCCGAUUAGCUAGUUGGCGGGGUAAGAGCCCACCAAGGCGACGAUCGGUAGCUGGUCUGAGAGGAUGAUCAGCCACACUGGAACUGAGACACGGUCCAGACUCCUACGGGAGGCAGCAGUGGGGAAUAUUGGACAAUGGGCGCAAGCCUGAUCCAGCCAUACCGCGUGGGUGAAGAAGGCCUUCGGGUUGUAAAGCCCUUUUGUUGGGAAAGAAAAGCAGUCGGUUAAUACCCGAUUGUUCUGACGGUACCCAAAGAAUAGCACCGCUAA